rnacentral:rRNA from 1 species
GUGAGGAAUAUUGCGCAAUGGAGGCAACUCUGACGCAGCCAUGCCGCGUGCAGGAAGAAGGCGCUACGCGUUGUAAACUGCUUUUAACCGGGAAGAAACCCCAGGACGUGUCCUGGGUUGACGGUACCGGAGGAAUAAGCACCGGCUAACUUCGUGCCAGCAGCCGCGGUAAUACGAAGGGUGCAAGCGUUAUCCGGAUUCAUUGGGUUUAAAGGGUGCGUAGGCGGAGCGUUAAGUCAGUGGUGAAAUCCUGCAGCUUAACUGUAGAAUUGCCAUUGAUACUGGCGCUCUUGAGUGCGCUUGAAGUGGGCGGAAUGUGCCGUGUAGCGGUGAAAUGCUUAGAUAUGGCACAGAACACCAAUUGCGAAGGCAGCUCACUAAGGCGAUACUGACGCUGAGGCACGAAAGCGUGGGGAUCGAACAGGAUUAGAUACCCCAGUAGUCC